rnacentral:rRNA from 1 species
AUGCGCGAGUCAUUGGGUGUUAAAACCUAAAGGCGCAAUGAAAGUGAAGGUGGCCUUAUGGAGCUGAUAUGCGAUUCCGGGCAUUUCGGUGCCUGGACGCAGCAUAGCCCCAUCCUAAUUGCUUGCAAUGCGGUGGAGGUAGAGCGUAUCCGCUGAGACCCGAAAGAUGGUGAACUAUUCCUGAGCAGGACGAAGCCAGAGGAAACUCUGGUGGAAGUCCGAAGCGGUUCUGACGUGCAAAUCGAUCGUCUGACUUGGGUAUAGGGGCGAAAGACUAAUCGACCCAUCUAGUAGCUGGUUCCUUCC